rnacentral:rRNA from 1 species
GACGAACGCUGGCGGCGUGCUUAACACAUGCAAGUCGAACGGAAAGGCCCUUCUUUUGUGGGGUGCUCGAGUGGCGAACGGGUGAGUAACACGUGAGUAACCUUCCCUUGACUUUGGGAUAACUUCAGGAAACUGGGGCUAAUACCGGAUAGGAGCUCCUGCUGCAUGGUGGGGGUUGGAAAGUUUCGGCGGUUGGGGAUGGACUCGCGGCUUAUCAGCUUGUUGGUGGGGUAGUGGCUUACCAAGGCUUUGACGGGUAGCCGGCCUGAGAGGGUGACCGGCCACAUUGGGACUGAGAUACGGCCCAGACUCCUACGGGAGGCAGCAGUGGGGAAUAUUGCACAAUGGGCGGAAGCCUGAUGCAGCAACGCCGCGUGCGGGAUGACGGCCUUCGGGUUGUAAACCGCUUUCGCCUGUGACGAAGCGUGAGUGACGGUAAUGGGUAAAGAAGCACCGGCUAACUACGUG